rnacentral:rRNA from 1 species
UACGUAGGGUGCAAGCGUUGUCCGGAAUUAUUGGGCGUAAAGAGCUCGUAGGCGGUUUGUUGCGUCGGCUGUGAAAUCCCGAGGCUCAACCUCGGGGUCUGCAGUCGAUACGAGCAAACUAGAGUGUUGCAGGGGGAGACUGGAAUUCCUGGUGUAGCGGUGAAUGACGCAGAUAUCAGGAGGAACACCGGUGGCGAAGGCGGGUCUCUGGGCAA